rnacentral:rRNA from 1 species
AGAGUUUGAUCCUGGCUCAGGAUGAACGCUAGCUACAGGCUUAACACAUGCAAGUCGAGGGGAAACGACAUCGGAAGCUUGCUUUUGAUGGGCGUCGACCGGCGCACGGGUGAGUAACGCGUAUCCAACCUGCCCAUCACUUGGGGAUAACCUUGCGAAAGUAAGACUAAUACCCAAUGACGUCUCUAGAAGACAUCUGAAAGAGAUUAAAGAUUUAUCGGUGAUGGAUGGGGAUGCGUCUGAUUAGCUUGUUGGCGGGGUAACGGCCCACAAGGCGACGAUCAGUAGGGUUCUGAGAGGAAGGUCCCCACAUUGGAACUGAGACACGGUCCAAACUCCUACGGGAGCA